CACUAUACGGUGAAACUGCGAAUGGCUCAUUAAAUCAGUUAUCGUUUAUUUGAUAGUACCUUACUACAUGGAUAACCGUGGUAAUUCUAGAGCUAAUACAUGCUAAAAACCCCGACUUCGGAAGGGGUGUAUUUAUUAGAUAAAAAACCAAUGCCCUUCGGGGCUCCUUGGUGAAUCAUAAUAACUUAACGAAUCGCAUGGCCUUGCGCCGGCGAUGGUUCAUUCAAAUUUCUGCCCUAUCAACUUUCGAUGGUAGGAUAGUGGCCUACCAUGGUAUCAACGGGUAACGGGGAAUUAGGGUUCGACUCCGGAGAGGGAGCCUGAGAAACGGCUACCACAUCCAAGGAAGGCAGCAGGCGCGCAAAUUACCCAAUCCCGACACGGGGAGGUAGUGACAAUAAAUACUGAUACAGGGCUCUUUUGGGUCUUGUAAUUGGAAUGAGUACAAUUUAAAUCCCUUAACGAGGAACAAUUGGAGGGCAAGUCUGGUGCCAGCAGCCGCGGUAAUUCCAGCUCCAAUAGCGUAUAUUAAAGUUGUUGCAGUUAAAAAGCUCGUAGUUGAACCUUGGGCCUGGCUGGCCGGUCCGCCUCACCGCGUGUACUGGUCCGGCCGGGCCUUUCCUUCUGGGGAACCUCAUGCCCUUCACUGGGCGUGCUGGGGAACCAGGACUUUUACUUUGAAAAAAUUAGAGUGUUCAAAGCAGGCCUUUGCUCGAAUACAUUAGCAUGGAAUAAUAGAAUAGGACGUGUGGGUUCUAUUUUGUUGGUUUCUAGGACCGCCGUAAUGAUUAAUAGGGA
rnacentral:rRNA from 1 species